rnacentral:lncRNA from 1 species
UAACCUCUGGAAGUAACAGAAUAGCAACAGCUGGCAUAACCGGUGAAGGAAAUGACAGUCCCCAAUGAGCCGAACAGCUGGUGUUCCAGGAAAUGUUCCUGUAUUGAUGCUUAUUGGCAUGAAGGUAGCUGAACCACUGACUGGGCUUGCAGUAGAGUUUGACACUCCAUCAUUUGAGCUACUAAAUUUCGCUAUGGCACCUUGCAUCCAAGCUUGCAUUUGUGUGCUUCCGCUGGAGUUUGUAGUACUAGUAGUAGCAGUAGGUUGCCCUGGUCCGUGAUUCACUGACUUGUCAGGAACAGCUGCACAUAAAAGAGUUGAGAUAUCCCUCAAUGUGCUACAAGUUACAUGCCAAGUCCAACAACACAGAUAACCAAAUGUACCACCCACUAACCUAAGAAGGGGAGAUACAUGGAUUAUACACUAAAGUUUACAGACCAGAAGAAAAUCUAGACUUCAGAAGCUCAUCUCAUUUUCAUGAAUUCUAACCUACCCACAAGACAAUGAUAUUUCUACCGCUAUGCACCAUUAUCCAUUCUUCACGCCUAAAGAAAAUAAGAAAUGACAAAAUAAACAGCAUACUGACCCUGGGUUGUUGCAGGAGACGAAGCAUUUUGUGUGGGACUGGCAACCAUGUUGCGAUUACUGCCAGUUCCAGUGGAAGCAGCAUGGCUUGCAAGUGUCCGACAAAAACUCGCAUAGCGUCUUAAACGUGUGAUAAAAUGAGAAGCCAGGUCAAGAACAGCAUCCACAUAAGCCUGUACAAGAUAUGAAAAAGAAAAAGAAUCAGAGAAAAGCAGAAAAGUAGCAACAGGAAAAUAAGUUUUGCAUAUCAAGAUAGUGAUAUGGUCUUAUUUCAUAUUCAGUAAUAUAUGAUCAUGAACAGAAAAAUGAUAUGUUGACUUCGUGGAAACAAUCACUAGUGCAAUUAGCUAACUAAAAUUAUAUAUGCAAAAUAACCAAAUCUAAUUCAAAGUUUUAAACACAACGUGUCUAGGCUGAUUGUAAGAAGGAAGAUACCUCAGCAAAACUAACACAGUAAAGACCAGAAACUCUUUAAAUGAAAACAAUGCAUGCGCCUUCAAAAUAUUCAUACUUGCAUUUCCAUCUCAUAAAAAGAAAAACAUGUAACGCCAUCCUCGGACUUGGAGGUAGAUAUACCUGAAUACUGGAAACAAGAGCAGGAUCGACAGCCAUUGCCUCAGGAUCGGUGCUUAAUAUGGUCUCACCAUCUGUUCGCCAUGGCUCAAUAACCAACGCUGAAGGGUUAACAAGAGCUGAUUCAAUUCCUUUUCCAAGCAUGUCCAACAACAAUCUUGCUUGCAUAUCUAAGACCAUGGCACGAACCUCCUGAGCAUUGGUUCCUUCAAGUAACCGACAUUUGAUCCUGUCUAGAUUCUGAAAACCAUAAAAUUACAAGAUUUUACCAAAGAGUAGAAACCAAACUUGAAAACAAAGUUUAAGAAAGAAAAAAACAAAGCAUCACAAGAGGACAAAAUCCUGCCAAGAUUCUAUUCAUCGUCUUAAGAGUCAGAUCCAGUAUCCAUAUUGGCUACUCAACCCAUUCAAAAUCAGAUAACUACGGGAGGUGUUUUUUCCGUUUUUUGGGGUAACGUUGAUGUCUAAAAGUACGAUCGCAUAGUCGAAUAGAAGAACCAACACAAAUAGGGUCUACAGGCUCGUAUAAUAGAGUAGCUUUAUACAGCUAAAAUUAAUCAUUAAGAAACAGAAAAAGCACAAGGUAAACCAAGUUUUAUGAAGGCUAACGAUACGGUACGGCCAAGCAAACAACUCAAAUAUUCUGAAAAGGUGAAAAGAUUAAUGAGUUUAGAAAAACAUACAGGACCAUAUUGUUGCCUGUGUUGUGUUGAAGGAAGGGAGUGAAAAUCAGCAUCCAUGACAGCAAUCACGCUGGUCAGCGAAACUGUAAUCAUCAAAAAAAGGAAAUGUGUCAUCCGAUGCUUUCAACCGUGUAUCAUCCAAUCAAGACAGUAACAUCUGAAUCAUUAUGCUCUAUGUCAUUGAAAGCUUAUCAUAAAAUAUUGUACUCUCUACAAAAUAAACAAGUAGAAAAUAGGUUCUUUGAAUGCCAUGGAGCUUAUUAAAAGUGAGAUCAUUUCUAAGCAAACUAAAAAAUGGUUGUUCUGGAGCUAAAGAACAACUAAUUUCUCGGUGAAAAGAUUAAACAGCAUUGAAAUCAAGAAAACUUAUAAGCACCACAAAUUAUACCAAUGCCAUCCUCUGCAGCACUCUGUGUACAGCCAACUGCAUCCCACCAAUCAACUCCACAUAAAAGAGUUGAGAUAUCCCUCAAUUACAUACCUACAAGUUACCGCCAAGUCCAACAACACAGAUAACCAAAUGUACCACCCACUAACCUAAGAAGGGGAGAUACAUGGAUUAUACACUAAAGUUUACAGACCAGAAGAAAAUCUAGACUUCAGAAGCUCAUCUCAUUUCCAUGAAUUCUAACCUACCCACAAGACAAUGAUAUUUCUACCGCUAUGCACCAUUAUCCAUUCUUCACGCCUAAAGAAAAUAAGAAAUGACAAAAUAAACAGCAUACUGACCCUGGGUUGUUGCAGGAGACGAAGCAUUUUGUGUGGGACUGGCAACCAUGUUGCGAUUACUGCCAGUUCCAGUGGAAGCAGCAUGGCUUGCAAGUGUCCGACAAAAACUCGCAUAGCGUCUUAAACGUGUGAUAAAAUGAGAAGCCAGGUCAAGAACAGCAUCCACAUAAGCCUGUACAAGAUAUGAAAAAGAAAAAGAAUCAGAGAAAAGCAGAAAAGUAGCAACAGGAAAAUAAGUUUUGCAUAUCAAGAUAGUGAUAUGGUCUUAUUUCAUAUUCAGUAAUAUAUGAUCAUGAACAGAAAAAUGAUAUGUUGACUUCGUGGAAACAAUCACUAGUGCAAUUAGCUAACUAAAAUUAUAUAUGCAAAAUAACCAAAUCUAAUUCAAAGUUUUAAACACAACGUGUCUAGGCUGAUUGUAAGAAGGAAGAUACCUCAGCAAAACUAACACAGUAAAGACCAGAAACUCUUUAAAUGAAAACAAUGCAUGCGCCUUCAAAAUAUUCAUACUUGCAUUUCCAUCUCAUAAAAAGAAAAACAUGUAACGCCAUCCUCGGACUUGGAGGUAGAUAUACCUGAAUACUGGAAACAAGAGCAGGAUCGACAGCCAUUGCCUCAGGAUCGGUGCUUAAUAUGGUCUCACCAUCUGUUCGCCAUGGCUCAAUAACCAACGCUGAAGGGUUAACAAGAGCUGAUUCAAUUCCUUUUCCAAGCAUGUCCAACAACAAUCUUGCUUGCAUAUCUAAGACCAUGGCACGAACCUCCUGAGCAUUGGUUCCUUCAAGUAACCGACAUUUGAUCCUGUCUAGAUUCUGAAAACCAUAAAAUUACAAGAUUUUACCAAAGAGUAGAAACCAAACUUGAAAACAAAGUUUAAGAAAGAAAAAAACAAAGCAUCACAAGAGGACAAAAUCCUGCCAAGAUUCUAUUCAUCGUCUUAAGAGUCAGAUCCAGUAUCCAUAUUGGCUACUCAACCCAUUCAAAAUCAGAUAACUACGGGAGGUGUUUUUUCCGUUUUUUGGGGUAACGUUGAUGUCUAAAAGUACGAUCGCAUAGUCGAAUAGAAGAACCAACACAAAUAGGGUCUACAGGCUCGUAUAAUAGAGUAGCUUUAUACAGCUAAAAUUAAUCAUUAAGAAACAGAAAAAGCACAAGGUAAACCAAGUUUUAUGAAGGCUAACGAUACGGUACGGCCAAGCAAACAACUCAAAUAUUCUGAAAAGGUGAAAAGAUUAAUGAGUUUAGAAAAACAUACAGGACCAUAUUGUUGCCUGUGUUGUGUUGAAGGAAGGGAAUGAAAAUCAGCAUCCAUGACAGCAAUCACGCUGGUCAGCGAAACUGUAAUCAUCAAGAAAAGGAAAUGUGUCAUCCGAUGCUUUCAACCGUGUAUCAUCCAAUCAAGACAGUAACAUCUGAAUCAUUAUGCUCUAUGUUAUUGAAAGCUUAUCAUAAAAUCAUCAAUAUAGUGAAGUCGAACUUGGAUGUUUCCACUACCUACCUGAGAGCCAGGCAAGGGAUGCGGAAGCGCAGCUGUUCUCUUGCAGAGAUCCAUUAGUAUAUGGAAAAGAACUCUCACCUGAAAGAUCAAAGCGUAACUAAAAGAUCUUUCUAGAAUAUUGAACUUAUCAACAGGGCAUUUUUUUUUCUUGAUCAACCAACCUAGGGUUUUCAUUAUUCUCACCCAUGAUGAUCAGCUUAAGCCCAGGUAUAAUUGUAUAAAAGUGAAGACAAGGAAUACAAGUGCCUACCUCCUCAAAAGUAUAGCCUUGACCAGCAUUCCCAGAUCCCAUCUUUGUUGUACGGGCAGAAUUAUCAUCAAUCCCUUUCACUCCAGCACCCAACUGAGAAGUCCGGAAUCCCUGGGCUUCCUCCAUCCUGUUCAAGGCAGGGUUUGGUUUAGCAGAGUUGACCUCUUCCGACUUGCUGGUAGCCCCCGUUUGAAGCUUUUGUGAACUGGCAUCAGCGUUUUUCUGGUGAUUUCGCGAAGCCUGUAACCUCUGGAAGUAACAGAAUAGCAACAGCUGGCAUAACCGGUGAAGGAAAUGACAGUCCCCAAUGAGCCGAACAGCUGGUGUUCCAGGAAAUGUUCCUGUAUUGAUGCUUAUUGGCAUGAAGGUAGCUGAACCACUGACUGGGCUUGCAGUAGAGUUUGAUACUCCAUCAUUUGAGCUACUAAACUUCGCUAUGGCACCUUGCAUCCAAGCUUGCAUUUGUGUGCUUCCGCUGGAGUUUGUAGUAC